rnacentral:lncRNA from 1 species
UGUUCUUCUGUGUGCAAUGAUCUCAUGCUACAGGAUAGUUUGAUAGCAACUCCUGGGAUUCAUUCAGGAGCUUCAGACUGUUCAGACGUUGAUUAGCAACUGCAUUUUUUUCCCAGCUCGCCACGGAAUGGAUCAUGAAGACUGACAACUACAAAAACAAAAAGGAAAAAAAAAGGCUGCUCAUUUGAUAAGUCAUAUGCUAUACAACAGGGUCAUUUUAAGAUUUAAAAGCUUGAAUGUAAAAUAAAUAUAUAUCCCAUCAGCUUUAUGCUGAAUUGUAGGGGUAGUAUUCAGUGUGUGUAGGGGGUGGUAUAAACAAAAACUAAAAGUUUAAAAGGAGGGGGGAAGGAGAAAAAAUGUAUUUUGUGGGGAAACAGAUUUAAAAGGUGAAAGUGAUUUGUGCAUGAUUUUUUUUAUUAUUUUUGCAUAUAUUUACCAUUUUAUUGUGUGUAUAUAUAGAAGACCAUAUUAUAGGAAAUUGACAUUUGUAAUAGUGGAUUUGUUAAUACUUUUUACAUAACAUUACUGUUUAAAUUGUAAACAGAAUUUUCUCAGGAUUAGUUUGAAAAAUAAUCUGAAUUGUCAUCUUAACAUCCAUAUAUAGGAACGUGAUUAGUUCUGUUAUUCAGAAUUUGUUUUCCUCAGCAUUGAAAUGAAUUAAUAGAACACUUGUGACCUGCUGCAAAAGUUUUUCCUCUAAAAAGAAAAGAUUUAUGGUGGCAAAUGAAGUUUAUUUUAUUUUGUAAAAUGUGUACUAUGUAUUUUUGUGUAAACACUGAAAAAACUAUAUAGUCAUCUCUGAUAAUGAACUCGCAACUGUUUUCUAUAGUGCCGUCGUCUUUGGCAUUGGGCAAUUACACUACUUUGUUUUUCUUUGCAGUCUUUUUUUUUCUUCCUAAAAAGGAAAAAAAAAGCCACCUGAAUGUUGUCCAUUCUUGUUGCAGUAAAAAACAAAAAACAAAAAAAAAAAAAAAAAAAAAAAGCAUGAAGGAAAAAUUGAGGUGUGUGUUACAUUUCCUCAAAUGA